GCGCCUCUCCCUUUAUCCUUUAUGCUUUUCUAUAAUCUAUUAAUUUCUUAAAGUAUUAUAUCUAUUAUACUCUAAAGCCCUGCCCCGUUUUAAGUGUUUUAACCCAUGAUCAGUGACACCAUUUCCGAUUGAUCUUGAGCCGCAUAACGCAUGUCAAGGCUCUGCCCGACUAAGUUCGUUGGGGUUCUGUCUCGUGACGUAGGGAUAAAGUUGAACUGGGUUAUUAUAUUUAACGCGAGUGCAUCAAAUAGCUCGGGAGUUAUACCCAAAAUUUAUACCAGGAGGCUUUCUAGUUGAACCCUAAAGUUACAAAGUAAUUUGCUAAUUUGCUGUAAAGAUAAUAGAAGCCAACUAUGGAGCACUGAAGGCUUAAAUAAUGUGGCUAUAAUUACCUGAAUAAAAGAGGAAAUUUAUGUUUUAUUUAAUUGGGUUUAUCCCCAUAAAAACAAUUGAAUGAAAUACGGGUUUUAGCCCAUUUGAUCAAUAUUAAAAGUUUCGGUGUUUUACAAACUCUGAAAAUCAUUUCCUAACUACGAUCCUGAUGAAAAAUUUUCCGCUGCAUAUUUAAUAAACACCGAUACCAUCUGACUGGCUCGCAGCUCCCGCUCCCAGGGUGGGGUCGGGGGCUGUGACAGGAUUAAUGGUGCCUAAGUUAGCGCCUAUUCGCACGUGAUCCAAGGAUUCAUUCCCUAGCUUAACAUACCCUAGUUAACAUGUAUUUUAAAAGAAAAGGGGAACAUAAACCCAUUGGAUUGACUCGUUGUUCGUACGCAGACCAACCCAGUCCCGUUGUUGUAACUAGGAUAUUCUCGUCACUAGUCAUGAAAAUCAUGCAUGUUUCGUAAAUACGCGUGGAUUUUGUAAAACCGGUAUGUUUAGUAUGAUCUUUUUGUAAACCAUUUGAGUUCUUUGAAAGCCAUUCGUAACAUAGUUUAGUAAUAUGAGUUUUCGUUCAUCGAAAAGUUGUUUGCUUUUGCAAAACUUGCAUGUCUUUCCACCCCGAAAACAUUUAUAAAAAUGUAAAACCGUAAAAAAAAGUGGGGGUUAUGAGGAUUUCCAUGUGCAAAGCCAGCUAAAUACAACUUCGUGAUGUCGUUUCCAAGACGUGACUUGCUAGCGUGCAUUCUAUAAUAUCCCUAACACGAAAUUCUCCUAUAUAUUAAAAAAAGGAACGCUUUGAACAGCAGAAGGCUUUUUUGGUAAAUUACAUAACAUAUUUGUGCCCUCAAGCCCUGCCCUACACCCACCGUUGAAAGAGAGAUACGCCAACCAACAAUAUCACAGAACCCCCAAAUGGUUCAAUCACAGAAAGAGAGAAGCGCAUAGAACCGGAAGAAAUCCGGCAAGUGUGAGAGAGGAAGAGUGAUGCAGCAGAGAUCCACAUGUGGAAACGACGGUGAUACCGGGGUUUCCGGUCACUGCAGCGGCGGUCAACAGUGGUGGCUAGGGUUUCGAUUGCGGUUUCAGGAGGGAUCAGCGGAACGCGAUAAGGAUGAAGAUGGCCGGCGAAAUACCUAGGGUUUCGGCUAAGUUCCGGCAGAAGGAUUAAAGCUUGCAUGCUCCAUUUUCAAGUAGAUCGGUGACGGAUUCAUCUGCAUGUGUGCUUCUCCGAUUAUUAAGGUAUAACCCAUCUACCUCACCCUAUCAAUCUCAUCACAACAUCUCUGCCUCUGUCCCCGGCGACGUCUGGCGACCAAAGGUGAGGUUUAUUGUUGGGGUUUACAUCAUCCUAUAUGUUCGCCGUCUUCUCUUUGUUCUUUUGUUGUAGAUGACUGAGUUUAGCCAUGGGUUUGAUGCUCUUAACUCUUUAGGGUUUUUAGAACUUUGUGGAUGAGAAUAACCUUUGAAACAUUGUGUAAUUUGGUUUUCGUAAAUACCUUUGAUGUGCUUACAAAAAGGAAAGUGGUUCUGUUUCAGUUAGUGUGAUUAUUUUAGAUCACAAAUCAGCAAUAUGGAUCUUACUUUUCGAUGGAUUAAUUUGAUUUGAAGCUAAUUGUGGUGGUCUAUAGUGUUGGAGAACAUCAAAGCGGAAACCUACUGGUGUAUGGUGAAGAGGAGCAGAAUUGAUGGUCUCAAUCUGGACAGUUGGAAUAAGUUUUAAGAGCCUGGAGUUCGGAUAGGAGUGUUCCUGUUUUGGUUGUGGUCCGAAUAAACAAUAUGCUAUUGAAAUAUUGGAAGGCAAAAGGAGUUCAAAUGCAAUUAUCCUUAUAUUAAUAAACCAACGAAAUGAACAGUAAAGUAGAGAGGGUAUUUAAGGGGUUUUUUUAACACAUAAACAAAUCCAGUUAUAACCGCUUACUCCGCCGUUUCAGGUUAGAGAAAGAGAGAGCAUGAGAGAAGGGGUGGAGACGGUGGUACCAUUGCGUCUACUCUGCCAUUGCGCCGAUGUGUAAACCAGCUGUCUCUCAAAAGCGAGGAACUCUCCGGUGAUGAUGGUGACGGUUCGGCGAACCUAAGGUUCUGCCAUGACCUCAUAUGGCGGUGCCGUGGAUGGUGUUCUGAGCAACCAGCACUGAUGGUUAACAGAUUCAACGGAGAUAAAGACGACUGCCAUACGAGUUAGUUCCGACAUAUAUUCCGGUGAGUCUUCGGAAAGCCUCUUUUCUUUUGCAUGUCGUUUUUUAACCAAGAUCGGUGUUUUUGAAGGCGUUUACGCGGCAGAGAGAAGAUGCUACAGUUAGGUCGGGGUCAUAUGGCUCUUAAACUGAUGAUAUUUGUUGAUUCAGUAACCGUAGGUGCUCCGCUGACUGAUUAUAGUCUCUUGCGAGUUCCACACCAGCUAUGUAGCACGGGGACUCCAUUUAUGUGGCCGUACCCGUCUCGGGUACUUGUCGGGGACGGAAACACCAUGGGUACUCGUCGGGGACGUUUCCUAAACGUUUCCAAUGUCGGGGACGUAUCUGGUAGAAGUAUCCAGCCCGUUUCCAUUUAGUUUUAGGGUUUUUACCCUUUCAAAUUCCACAACCGGCCACUAAAUAAAUAGACCUAUCAUAUUCGGCUUCUCUAAUCUCUAAACUCUCAAGUCUCAUCAUCUCUAAUUCUCUAUCGAUUGCCGAUCUCUCACUAGAUGAACCGGAAUUUGAAAAUGAUUUGAUUAUUGAUAAUUAAUUACCUUUGGAAGAUGUAGUAUUUUUGGAAUUUGUUUAAUGUAUUUUUAUUUUUUUAUAUUUUUUAUUGCCGUACCCGUAUCUUGGAAUUUUGAGUUUUGCCAUUCCUCGUUCCCGUAUCGUCCCCGUAUCCCGAUCCCGUACCCGUUCCAGUGCUACUUAGCACACCAGUGUAGAUCGAUAACCACAAAGGGUUGCACCAUGGUGAGUGGCUGGUGACGGGUAAAGGUGGUCCCAGUGAUGAAGUUGUGGUUGUUGACGUUUAUGUGGGUGGUCUGCAAUAAUGAUCACCUGCGACGGAGAUGCCUCCGGAACAAGUAACAAAAUCGAGUGCACCUUAUACAAUUGGGUAUCUUGUAUGUACAUUGCUGCUAACUGACUUUUGGGUAUCUGACAGGUCUUCAUCUACAUACAGCGAAUAGGGAUCAAUCAUCUGUGGAUGAUGGAGGUUCAUCAUCAGUGAAGAUAAACAAGGAAAAAAUAAGCGGAAAACCCCCAGGCUGGAGAAACCCAAGCCCACGAGUUCAAAUCCCCCCCGGCGCACGAACGCUACCUUCCGGUUGGACCGGGCUCGCCCCUGUGCGGGAAACCCACUAGGCCCGGGAUCGAACCCGGGACCUGUGGGUGAAAACCCUCACACCUCAACCGCUGAGACACGACAUCAUUGUUUGAGCUAGAAAAGAGGAACAUAGAGAAUCAAAGGUUAAGAGGGAUGCUUUCACAAGUGACCAACAAUUACACGGUGUUGAAAUUACAUGUGGCUAAUGAAAUGCAAAAGCAACAAAAUCAGAAAGUUGAUCAUCAUCAGGAAAUGGUUGCGAAACAACUUAUCGAGUUAGGUCCGACUUCUCAUGAUUCUUCAUCGGAAGAAAGAACUCAAUCGGGCUCGACUUAGAAUGGUGAUCAUAAAGCUGGUAAAAGAAACGGUCGGGAGAACACCUCGGAUUUGGAUGCUUGGAUUGCUAACAAGGUACCAAAGUUGAAUGGUUCAAAGAUCGUCGAGCAACCAAAUGAAUCUAGCAUGCGUAAAGCUCAAGUCUCGGUCCGGGCUCGGUUAGAAGCACCCAUGGUAAUUUAGUUAUUAUAAUUUUUGUAUGUUACAAUACAAUAAUUUUGGCUAAAUGCUAAAAAGUUUCCUUGUAUUUUUACUACAGAUUUGAUCAUGUUAUGAGUUGUGAUGUAAAAUAUACACACCAAGAAUGAUUUGGUUAAGCGCGCCGCAACGCGGCGCUGCGCAUAAAACUAGUUAGCUUAAAA